UACAGAGGUCUCGAGCGUUGGUCGGAUUCAUUGGGCGUAAAGGGCGCGUAGGCGGCCGCCUAAGUCAGACGUGAAAUCCCUCGGCUCAACCGGGGAACUGCGUCUGAUACUGGGUGGCUUGAAUCCGGGAGAGGGAUGCGGAAUUCCAGGUGUAGCGGUGAAAUGCGUAGAUAUCUGGAGGAACACCGGUGGCGAAGGCGGCAUCCUGGACCGGUAUUGACGCUGAGGCGCGAAAGCCAGGGGAGCAAACGGG
rnacentral:rRNA from 1 species